rnacentral:snoRNA from 1 species
ACUCUCCAGAGUCCCUUACCCCUCAGAUCUCAGUAUCGGUCUGAGUGGCUGCAAGGGAGGAAAAGGGAACGUCAAGUGGACUUGGAGUCUUUAAUGAUAUUCAAAUUCAUUGCAGACCUAU